rnacentral:rRNA from 1 species
GACGAACGCUGGCGGCGUGCCUAACACAUGCAAGUCGAACGAAGAGCGCCGGACUCUUGCCUCUCUCAAUCUUAGUGGCGCGCGGGUGAGUAACGCGUAAUCAACCUGCCCUUCAGAGGGGGACAACAGUUGGAAACGACUUCUAAUACCGCAUACGAUCUAAUCUCGGCAUCCAGGAGGGAUGAAAGGUGGUCUCUACAUGUAAGCUAUCACUGAAGGAGGGGAUUGCGUCUGGUUAGCUAGUUGGAUGGGUAACGGCCUACCAAGGCGAUGAUCAGUAGCCGGACCGAGGGGGUGGACGGCCACAUGGGGACAGAGAAAGGGCCCAGACUCCUACGGUAGGCAGCAGUGGGGAAUCUUACGCAAUGGACGAAAGGCUGACGGAGCAACGUCGCGUGAGUGAUGACGGCCUUCGGGUGGGAAAACUCUGUUAGUCGGGACGAAAGGAAUUCUUGCGACCAGUGAGAAUAAUGACGGUACCCGGAGAAGAAGGCCAGGCUAACUUCGGU